UCUCGAUUGCGUAAGAGUUAACUCACAAUUUGUAUAGAUUUGCAACGUUUGCCCACGUUUGCCGCUAGGGGCGCUGUUCCAACUGCAUACAAAUUUAAGUUAACUUUAACGCUACCGA
rnacentral:pre_miRNA from 9 species